CACGAUUCCUACAUUUGUUACCCUGAUUAGGAGGAGGAUCACUGUUCCUCUGGACCCCAUUGGCAGCUCCUACUUGUCUUCCAGGAACAGAAAGGAGGAACCUGAAGAUUUUAAGGAGUACGAUGCAAAGUGAUCAAACUUUCAGAUGACGUAUACCGUUAAAAAGGACACCUUAUGUUGUUUAGUUCUGGUCCUUUU